rnacentral:rRNA from 1 species
UACGAGGGGGGCGAGCGUUGUUCGGAAUUACUGGGCGUAAAGCGCGCGUAGGCGGACCUGCAAGUCGGGGGUGAAAGCCCGAGGCUCAACCUCGGAACUGUCUUCGAUACUGCGGGUCUCGAGUCCGGGAGAGGUGAGUGGAAUUCCUAGUGUAGAGGUGAAAUUCGUAGAUAUUAGGAAGAACACCAGUGGCGAAGGCGGCUCACUGGCCCGGUACUGACGCUGAGGCGGCGAAAAGCGUGGGGAGCAAACAGGG